CAACUUUCAACAACGGAUCUCUUGGUUCUGGCAUCGAUGAAGAACGCAGCGAAAUGCGAUAAGUAGUGUGAAUUGCAGAAUUCAGUGAAUCAUCGAAUCUUUGAACGCACAUUGCGCCCCUUGGUAUUCCAAAGGGCAUGCCUGUUCGAGCGUCAUU
rnacentral:rRNA from 1 species